AUAUUUUCUGAUUUGUGAUUUUCUUGCUGGUAAUUUUAAAAGAUGCAAAGGAGCAAUAAAAGGUUUAAAGCAACUGUAGCUGUCACAUAUCAUGAUGAGGAUGGCCAUGUUGAGAGAGAGGAGGUGCAUUUGUCAGAAUUGGUUACUGAGGAUCAUAGAGGAAGCUGUUCUAUUAACAGUCCUGAUAAUUGUGGUGCAUUGGAAGGCCAUGAACUGGGAAUGGAACAAGAUAACAGUGAUCUUGAAAGUGAUGUUCACCAUGAUUGUGAAGAAUCAUCUUCUUAUUACCAGAAAG